ensembl:ncRNA C09B7.9 ncRNA
AUGGAUGGGAAUGGGCAAGCGCGAUUCCUUUCAGAAAUGCACAAAAAAUAGGAGAUGAGACACUAUAAAAAGCGAACGCCUUUUUGUCGGAGGUAAACAAAUUAAAAACACGAUGCAUUUUUUUAAAGGAACAUCUUAAAGAUCAAGGAAACGCAAUUUAGAGGCUUGCUUAUAAAUAUUUGGAAUAUUGGAACUAAAAUUAGACCUUAUACCAACAAACU